rnacentral:rRNA from 1 species
GACGAACGCUGGCGGCGUGCUUAACACAUGCAAGUCGAACGGUGAAGCGCCUUCCUUUUUGGUGGGUGUGGAUGAGUGGCGAACGGGUGAGUAACACGUGAGUAACCUGCCCCCUUCUUCUGGAUAACCGCAUGAAAGUGUGGCUAAUACGGGAUGUUCUGGGUCUGUCGCAUGAUGGGUCUGGGAAAGAUAUUGUUUCGGUGGGGGAUGGGCCCGCGGCCCAUCAGCUUGUUGGUGGGGUGAGGGCCUACCAAGGCGGUGACGGGUAGCCGGCCUGAGAGGGUGGACGGUCACACUGGGACUGAGACACGGCCCAGACUCCUACGGGAGGCAGCAGUGGGGAAUAUUGCACAAUGGGCGCAAGCCUGAUGCAGCGACGCCGCGUGAGGGAUGGAGGCCUUCGGGUUGUGAACCUCUUUCGCCAGUGAAGCAGGCCUGCCUCGUUUGUGGGUGGGUUGACGGUAGCUGGAUAAGAAGCGCCGGCUAACUACGUG